UUGAUUGAAACCAAAGAGAGGUAUAUUACUGUUAAUAAUAAAAUUGAAGAAUUUCUUCCAAUCAAG
rnacentral:tRNA from 1 species